UACAUGGGGUGCAAACGUUGCUCGGAAUUAUUGGGCGUAAAGCGCACGUAGGCGGUUUGUUAAGUCGGAUGUGAAAUCCCUCGGCUCAACCUCGGGUCUGCAGUCGAUACGGGCAAACUAGAGUAUUGCAGGGGAGACUGGAAUUCCUGGUGUAGCGGUGAAAUGCGCAGAUAUCAGGAGGAACACCGGUGGCGAAGGCGGGUCUCUGGGCAAUAACUGACGCUGAGGAGCGAAAGCGUGGGGAGCGAACAGG
rnacentral:rRNA from 1 species